rnacentral:rRNA from 1 species
CAUUGCGGCUCGGGAUCCUGAUCUCGGGCCACACCUGACUGAGGGUCGGUGAUAUCAUGAGAGCAAAUUGUAUUGGGCGACGUCCGGCGGCAUUGACUUGUCGAACGCGCCUCAAAUUCAAAAGAAAGACUCGGAGAAGGCCGCCUCUCUCUCUCACGAGAGAGGGGAGACUUGCACGGUCGUCGUGAGUACGUGUCUUUGUGUUUAAUCUGGACCGGGAACAGCUCGCACAGCGGAAUGCCCCUCGCGCCCAGAGACGAAAACAAGACUCAGAAAGCGCGCAUCGUCUCGUCGUUCGGUUCGACUCCGUAAAUGAUAUUAUUGAUUGAUUGAUCGCGACCUCAGAUCAGGUGAGACUACCCGCUAAAUUUAAGCAUAUUAAUAAGCGGAGGAAAAGAAACUAACAAGGAUUCCCUGAGUAGCGGCGAGCGAAAAGGGAAAAGCCCAGCACCGAAUCUCGUACCGUG